rnacentral:rRNA from 1 species
UACAGAGGUCUCAAGCGUUUGUUCGGAUUUAUUGGGCGUAAAGGGCGCGUAGGCGGCGGGGUAAGUCGGGUGUGAAAUCUCAGGGCUCAACCCUGAAACUGCACUUGAUACUGCUCUGCUUGAGGACUGGAGAGGAGACUGGAAUUCACGGUGUAGCAGUGAAAUGCGUAGAUAUCGUGAGGAAGACCAGUGGCGAAGGCGGGUCUCUGGACAGUUCCUGACGCUGAGGCACGAAGGCCAGGGGAGCAAACGGG